rnacentral:rRNA from 1 species
UGCCUGGCAGUUUCCUACUCUCGCAUGGGGAGACCCCACACUACCAUCGGCGCUACGGCGUUUCACUUCUGAGUUCGGCAUGGGGUCAGGUGGGACCACCGCGCUAAGGCCGCCA